rnacentral:rRNA from 1 species
UAGGGAAUCUUCCACAAUGGACGCAAGUCUGAUAGAGCAACGCCGCGUGAGUGAAGAAGGUUUUCGGACCGUAAAGCUCUGUUGUUGGUGAAGAAGGAUAGAGGUAGUAACUGGCCUUUAUUUGACGGUAAUCAACCAGAAAGUCACGGCUAACUACGUGCCAGCAGCCGCGGUAAUACGUAGGUGGCAAGCGUUGUCCGGAUUUAUUGGGCGUAAAGCGAGCGCAG